rnacentral:rRNA from 1 species
UCUAGCCCCUACACCUAAGCCUCAGAUUGGUUCUCGUCCGAUCACUGAAGUUAAGCAACGUUGAGCGUGGAUAGUACUUGGAUGGGUGACCGCUUGGGAACACCACGUAACGUUGGCC